rnacentral:hammerhead_ribozyme from 1 species
ACUGACGAGUCCCAAACAGGACGGAACGCGCGUCC